UGUGGAUUAGUGUUACUCCUCUGGUUGCUU
rnacentral:piRNA from 1 species